UACGUAGGGUGCGAGCGUUGUCCGGAAUUAUUGGGCGUAAAGGGCUCGUAGGCGGUUUGUCGCGUCGGGAGUGAAAUCCACUGGCUUAACUGGUGGCUUGCUUUCGAUACGGGCAGACUGGAGGUAUGCAGGGGAGAACGGAAUUCCUGGUGUAGCGGUGAAAUGCGCAGAUAUCAGGAGGAACACCUGAGGCGAAGGCGGGCUACUGGGCCGAUACUGACGCUGAUGCGCGAAAGCCAGGGGAGCGAACGGG
rnacentral:rRNA from 1 species